AGGGAUGUAGUUCAGUGGUAGAACAUCUGCUUUGAAUGCAGAAGGUUCCAGCUUCCGGGUUAGCGCCAUCGCCG